GAAGUUCCAAGGCUAGGGGUCAAAUUGAAGCUGUAGCUGCCAGCCUACACCACAGCCGCAGCAACAUGGGAUCUGAGCCACAUCUGCGAGCUACACCACAGCUCACGGCAAUGCCAGAUCCUUAACCCACUGAGUGAGGACAGGGAUCAAACCCUCAUCCUCAUGGAUGCUAGUUGGGUUCGUUACCACUAAGCAACAACAGGAACUUCCUCUUAGGUCUUUUUAACUCUCUGCUCAACACCUGAUUUGACCGACUGGCAACUCAUUAUGAAUGAAAAUACUAUAUUGUGUCAAAUGGUCUUUGGUGUAAAAGGAAGUUUUAAUAUAGGUGUGGCCCCUUAUUGUGGUAUGUUUUAGGUUUAUGUUUGCUUCUAUUUUUUAUUUAUGUAUUUAUUUAUUUUUUCUUUUUGCCAUUUUCUAGGGCCGCUCCCACAGCAUAUGGAGGUUCCCAGGCAGGGGUCUAAUCGGAGCUGCAGCCACCGGCCUACACCAGAGCCACAGCAACGCGGGAUCCGAGCCACGUCUGCGACCUACACCACAGCUCACGGCAACGCUAGAUCCUCAACCCACUGAGCAAGGGCGCAGAUUGAACCCGCAACCUCAUGGUUCCUAGUCGGAUUCGUUAGCCACUGUGCUACGACGGAAACUCCUAUGUUUGCUUUAUUAAGAUUGUCUCUUCCACUCAGGUUGGUCAAGCAGCUAUUAUUUAUUACUAUUCUCCAGCUGUCUGAGCAUUGCAAAGUUUCUCCUCCUUCUCUCCUUAACAAAUCUGCAGCCUCUCACACUGCCCUAACCUUAGAAAUCAGGGUUUUCCGUAAGAGCAAACAGGCUGGCUCAAGGCCUGGGUUACAAUUCAUGAUUUUUAUGACCUCUGUGGGCCUUUUUCACAUACUGCCUGUUAUUAGCCAAGUCCCAGAUAAUUGCAGGGUAAUUACGGCCCAUGUAGAGUCCAGCCCUUCCUUUUCCAGGAAAGUAUACUGUGUGAGCUCCAAUAAUGUGUGGCCAGCCCCCACUCCAGCAAGCUGAAAUAGUCUUUGAUUCCACAUAACCUGAAAAAGCCUCUGUCUCAACCUCAGACACAAAAUAUGCCUUUUUUCAGCAUCUGGAAGUUCCCAGGCCAGGGACUGCAUCCAAGCCUCGGCUGUGAUCUAUGCCACAGCUAUGGCAAUGCUGGAUCCUUUAACCCACUUCACCGGGCCAGGGAGCACACCCAUGCCUCCACCGUGACCCAAACCACUAGAGCAAGGAUUCUUAAUCCACUGUGUCACAGCGACAACUCCAAAAUACACCAGUCCCAAAUUAUGUUUCUUCGUCUGUCAACAUUUUCAAGGGAUCUUUCUAGGCCUCACCCUAGGAUCCUUCCCACAAAGACAGAAGUCCCUAUUUUGAUCACUGUGGUGGAAAUGAGUCACAACUUCAGUCAGUGAAUAAACAAUUUGCUCUCACAGAGAGUUCUCGAGAACUCAAUUUAGAUGUCCCUUCACAGGACCCCUAGAGGUCUUACCCAACUGUCGUUUUCAUGUUUAAGGAGAGAGGUAGGAAACUGCUGCUCCACCGCUUACCACCUGUGUGCCAUGUGCAGGUGACGGCUCCUCCUUGUCCUUCGCUGUGAUGCCCAAGAGGUGGAGUUAAUAAGACCCUUGAAUGAGAUAAGGCUUGGAAAGAACGGGCCCUCAAGAUAAUGCUCAAAGAAGGUUGAUUUUCUGUGUCCACUUGGCUUGGCCGCAGUGCCCAGAUACUUGGUCAAACAUUCUGGAUGUUUCUUUGAUGAGGGUUUUUGGCUGAGAAAACUUGAAAUCAGUAGACUCUAAGUAAAGCACUUUCCCCUCCAUAGUGUGCAUGGGCCUCAUCCAAACAGUUGAAGGCCUUAACAGAACAAAGACUGACCUUCCCCAGCAGGAAGGACUUCUGCCAGCAGACUCCCCCUGGACCCAAACUGCAGCUCUUGACUAAGUCUCCAGCCUGCCAGCCUUCACCAUCAGAUUUUGGACUUGCCAGGUUUCCAAAAUCGUGUGACCCAAUUCCGUAAAAUAUAUCAAUUUCUCUUUCUCCUUCUCUCUCCCACAACCACCCCCCUCUCUCUGUGUCCUCAUACAUAUAUGGAGAGCCUGGACUAAUACAAUGGCUAUCAUUAUUCUAAUCAGCAUCAUUAUUAUACUAUUAAGACAAAUACACUGGUCAUCCUCUAAUUUCAACUGCAAGGAGACAGGAAACUUCUCCAAAUCCUCCAAGACUGGAAAAUCUCAACCAAACCAGACGCCCAAGUAAGUGUCCCCAAGAAGUUCACCCAGCAUCCAAGAAUGACUUGGUAGCAAAAGAUCCAUUUGGACCCAUUCCUAGGAAUUGGCAAAUAAACUGAACAACUUUAAUAUUUCUGGCUUUUUAUAAGAAAUUUUAAGGAAGACAAGACCCAGCAAAAGAAGACAUGCAAUUAGUAAAUAAAUUGUUUUAUGUAUCUUACUGUUGUAUUUAUGUUAUACUGUAAGCUCCUUCCGAGCAUAUAAACCUAGAGUGAUGCUAACAACAUGAUUAUUCAUUUACUGCCUCCUGACUUUGUAGGCAUACACUUCUAUGAUCUGGGUCUUGCUCAUACAACUAUCAUAAAAUGAAACCUCUUUUUCUGUGAAAAGUAAUAAAUCAGCUUCAUGUCUUUGAAGUGUGAAUUUUUCAGUCUCUCUUCAUAUUUGUCUUUAGCAAAGGGUCAAAGGAUAUCUCAAAACCCUGUAAUUUUACUCUAUUUCAAUUCACAGGAUAUAAAUAUCUUUAUUUCUCUGCCAGGCAUUUUAUUUCUCUCCUUGGUCAUGUCUGAUGGUUUGCAUGUCCUAAAUUUCCGGUCUCCAAUCCAGUAUUUUGGCUUUAAUGCCUUUACUUCAUUAAUCAUCAGAAACAUAACUACUUGACAGCCAGCUUGCAGGUGGUCUGGAGGCCAGGACUGAGGACAAUUCAGUGGUGAGAACAAUUAGGGUGGCACCAGGUUGGAAGACUGAUGUUUCGAUGGGCAGGGGGUAUAUCAUGACUGUGAACUGUGAGGGUUUAAGUGAAGUCUGAGCAACAGGAGCUGGGACAAGGCAAAGCACAAAGGCUUAGACCCUUAAGUAUGAGUGAGAAGGAAAGGGUCAGUGUCCAGAGGAAUGAUGUGGAGAAGAACACAUCUCUCAGGCAAGUUGCAAGGAAACAGGCAAAGUAGAACCUCACGAGGGGACAAAUGGACUUAUCCACAUGACAGCACACUUUGGAAUGACAAAGGAUCCCAGGGCAGGGCCAUCUGCCUGCUGUCUUGGCUUUAAAUGGCCUCACUAGCAUAGGGAGAUGAAGGCUAGCAGGUGUGUGCUGUCCACUGACAAGAGGCCAAGGCUGGCUCUGCAGGUGCCGGGGUCGGCAGCCAAGAGGGCAGGCCUCUGAGAGCCCUUGCAGGUCUACUGCUGCGGCUGAAACUGAUACACAUAGACUCCUCCUCUCAUUGGUUCUCGUUCUCCUAAGGGCCACACAUUAAGUAUCCAGUUUUAUUACAUAGAAUAGCCUCCUGGAGUCUGCUGCUGGGAGGAAUGGCUCAACACUGGGAAAAGUCCUAAAGUCUACUGUGAGAACCUGGGAAGAUUUGAAAAUCUUCCUGUUCUCACUAAAACUACAGGUAUCUGGUCCUCAGACAUCUUCUCAGAGGACAUGGGAGAGGGAUCCUAAGUUCCUAACCCAAAGCAAAAUACAUCAGGCCUUCUUGAAAGAGAUACAAUGAAAAGUUUUGAGACACAGAGGGUGUUUUCACUGUUUACUCAAGGAUCCAAAAAACAGACCUAUCCCAGAGGAAAAGAAAGAGGCAGUGACAGGUGGCUCCGGCCACCCUGAUUUUCUUUUAGGUACCCCUCACUGUCACAGUCCAGGGGAGUGAGAAGCACACCUUCUUACCUAACACCCCUUCUUCCACCAACCAAGAAUCAUGGUGCGCCCUCCAUACUCAGUACUAUUGAAAGCCAGACAAAAUCCCCAUAAUCCAGAAAAGAGUCCACAAACUCACUAAUACAUUACUUAAGGCUGAACGGAACUGAUUAUUUAGUUAUGCCCGCAAUAUGUGCAUUUGCGGAAGACAAGAAACUUGAAGUUUUUUGGUUUUGUUUUUGUCUUUUUGUCUUUUCUAGGGCUGCUCCCGUGGCAUAUGGAGGUUCCGAGGCUAGGGGUCUAAUCGGAGCUGUAGCCACCAGCCUACACCACAGCUCACAGCAACGCCGGAUCCUUUUUUUUUUUUUUAAAGGGAGACUCUAUGGUGGCAUUUCAAACAGUGAAUAGAUAAAGAAGCCAUCUGGAGGGAAUUCAAAGGCAUCUCUCAGCCACUGAAUGGGAACACCUUAUUUAGAGCCCACUCCACCCACAGGCAAGAGUGACCCUGAGAAAACCUGUUAUAAUAGAGGGUGCGUUUUAUCUUAAAGAGAUUUGCCUAUUAAUUCUGAAUAUUCAACUCUAAAAGAACUGGAAGAACAUAUCAAUGCUUAGACAAAAAGCUCAAGACACUUCCAAUUUCUCCCCAGAGCUAUUCCCAUCAGUUUGUUCUGGGGGGGGGAGCUGAGCAGUAGGGGCAUUUCUUCAAUCAGUUAAAUAUCUUUGCAGAAGGAAAUCCUGUUACACUCUCCUAAGGGAUUUAAUCCAGAGACCUUUUCUCUUGAAUUUCACAAGAAAUUGCUCACAUCUUAAGAGAAGGAGGAUUUGUAGAUACUAAAGGGGUAAAUCGGAAAUUAAGCUGCUCGGAUUUACCACUUAUUGAUCUGGAAUUAUUAAAACUCUCAGCCAUUUUCGGGUUCACCUUCGAUAGAAAAAUUAAAGUGAUUAAAAGUUUUGCAUACUGCUUUUUCUAAGUGACUGUACAUUCCCUUCAAAAAUCUUUGAAAUAAAAUGCUCCUGUGAAAAUCUCAUACGACUGUUGUCAUAAUCAUAAUUACUGUAAAACUCCCAUUGAUUCCCAGGAUGCGCUGUGUAUCACAACUGCUCUUUAUCUCAUUCGGCUGUGUUCAAGCUGACACCAGCUACUUCUAUUUCUCCUCUAGUGCCUGUCAUAAUGUUUCUGUUUUAGAAUUUAAACAGAUUCUAAUCCAGAGUCAUGUAAUAUACUAUUCUA
rnacentral:lncRNA from 1 species